CUCCUUUCUAUAGAGAGCAUUUUGAAAAUCACACAUAGACAAGCGGCUUCUGAUACUGCAAUCUGGAUCCGCUUUCCUUCUGUUCUCCAUGCCGUGUCUUCCCUUCAACCGUGCAGAGUGUUUGUAUUUAGACCUCUACCGGCGUCUGACUGAACUUGACGAAAAUGGCACCAAGCGUCCUCUUCCAGAACCAUCAACAUUUCCCCAAGUUUGUGCCUCCAUCCGUGCGUCUGUGGCACCUCCAACACGCGCGCUCUGUCUGUGGCUUUAUUUUGGAAUUCCAGAUCCAAAUUCUAAGAUGCAACACUGAGUCCUGCGGGUCAUACUAUCAGGGUGAAGGAAUUGCAGACCUGCACUGAGAACAGCCAGUGAGGACCAGGUGGGUCUGGAAUUUAUCAGAAACCAGCAGAAAUUAGGUUAUGGGCAUGAGGGCCAGAAAGGCACAGGAAAUACAAGUUUGGUUAUCGUGACUUUGCAAAGUCAUAACUUCUCUGGGAAUAGCCCAACAGGAGUGCUGCGGGGGAUCCAGGAGUUGUCAGAAAUAGGUGAAGAAAGUUCUAAGGUCUUGGGGUGCCUGGGGAAGUGAGGGCUAUGUUCAGGUCUGGAUGGCCAUGGCUAUGCGGAAAUACUGGCACAAGGAUGCUCUGAGUUGCCAAGAGAAACAAGAAAUAGAAAUUUUGGGGGUAAAAAUGGAAAUGUAGAAACUAUUUUUAAAAAUACUGAGAGGCCCUAGCAGGCUGUUUUGUGGGUGAGGUCCUGCUUGUGUGUUGCUGUGAUGAGAUCUCUGGGUCUAAUCAUGAGAUGCGACGACAGGCGAUGAGAACCCAGGACAGACAAAGGUUCGGGGAGAUGUGACACGUAUGGGGUCACCUGAGCAAGAACAGAGCAAAAGGACUGUCACAGAGGAGAGGAUGGGGCAUUGCCCUGAGCCCUACAAAGUCAAUCAAGAGAGCAUUUUAGGACCAUGAGCUUCUAUUUCCGUCAUAAUCAGGAAAAUAAUAGCAAUGAUCACUGUAUUCCCCACAAAAGAAAAAUUUGUUUCAUGGGGAGAAAUGGUCAUGAAAUUCUAUAGCAAAAUAGAAAAUAAAAGAAAAGGAGCACCAAAAAGCUAUUUCUAAUAUUGCAGUACACCAGGGGGACCAAGGCACCGCACACAUGGGGCAGUGAGUUCAUCGGGGGUCAGCCAGCAUGGGCCUCAGCAAGGGAGGCGGAGGUGAGGGCAGGUGUGGUGGGGAGAAGGACAGAGGGUGACGAGGGACAGAGGAAACCUAGGCGCAGAGGCCAGCAGACAGAAAGACAGACAGGCCUCCGAGGCAGGAGCCAGCCUUGGCAGUGGAUCCCUCUGAGCUUCAUUUCUGAUUCAUUUAAUCUCCCCAAAAGUUACGAGAGAAAGUUACAAUGUCUGAGUCCACUUUAAAGCCAAGACACAGAGCAUGGACCUGCCUGCACUUCCAGGUGUUCACUGUUUAGAUCUGAAAAUGUUUGCACAGAGAAAAGUCAAGAGGGGACAGGGUCGUGUGGACAGGCAGCCACUCCGAGGUCCUGCGGUUGGAGAAAGAUCCUUCCAGCAUCCCGGAAAAACCGUAAGUGGCCGUGGGGUAGGGUGGCAGAAGAGGCAGCGUGUGUUCUUCAGAAACUUCAAGAGAGAAAGCGAAAGAAAUGAAUGACGCGGAAUAUUUGUGAUCAGGGCUUGGGGAGGUGGAAGAGAGACACUCGGUCGUCUCUUAGCUUUUUGUUUUUAAAUAAAUCACACUGAUGCGGGGUGGGGGUGGGCUGUUACUCCUGGGGAUGUGAUGCAGAUUCCUGGUUGUGGGAUAAUUCAAAUUAAUCACGAGAUAGGCCUUGGAUACUGAGAGGAGAUUAAUCAUCCAGAAAUAAACAGAGGAUGGAUUAUUUCAUAUCUUUGGGCUAUGCUCAAGUAUGCAUCCGACCCCGCCAGAGUAUCGGAGCCAUACGGAAUCUUCCUGGAGCACCUGGAGCCCGCCCAAAAGGCGCGUCCUGAAAUCACAGUAUCCACUCCGAGCCUCAGAAAUGAUGCUCAGAACUUGUCUGAUGCCCGCUCUGCCCUUUGUUUGGAAUGUAACACGUGCCUCCCUCCAGCUGGGAUCGUGAAAACCUGGUCCUCCCCCUCGGGGUGGCUUAUUUUUAAAAGUCGUGGAAUGUGGAAUAUGAAUACAACCUUUUCAUUUAAAAAAGGAAAUCCCUCCAUGUGCAGAAUUUACAUUAUUCAGAACAUGACAGAAAGCACAGAGGAAAAUAAUUCUGCCUGACUCUCCUCCUAGAGACGGGGCAUUUUCAAACUCAGGCGCAUGCAACCUCUGCGUACACCGAAGCGCCUCUGUCCUUUUCUUUCUGUUGGUUUAUUCUCCAAAUGAGUGGAGAAUCAAGUUGGGCUACAUUUUAAAAAUCAGAUUCCCAGGCUCCACUGCCAGAAUAUUUCUAAUUUAGUGAAUCUCAGUUGAGGCCUGGAAACCUACAUUUCAAGCAAGCUCCCUAAGUGGACCUUCGAUACAGUUCUAAAAAGUGUUCCCCAAGUUCCGGUGAAGAAGAAAUCUUAUCCUGAACCGCGCAGGCAGGAGGUAAAGAGCCUGGUUUUGAUAUCAGCAUUUGCUGAAACUGCUGUUUCCCUAAGUGAAGGAGUCACAGUCAGAAGGGAACUGCAGAUUCUAAAAGAGACGCUUUGCUUAUUAAAUUAAAAGAAUUCAGCCAUUAUUGCACAGGGCUCCUGACAGUGCUCAGUGACCACGCACACACAUGGACGUGCCUGGUUAUGACAACUGCUCACCCGGGUUUCCAGGUUGCUCAUAGUUCAGAACCCUGGAUCACCAUCCCAGGGGCUGUCACACCGCGUGUCAUGACUUUGGUUUGGAAAAUAGAGUCAGGGAAGGAUGCUCCAGGAGGAACUGAACUGGAGGUGCAGACUGAGUCUGCAGGGAAGGCAGGGACGCAGGCGACUGGACCCGCGUGCUGCGAUAGGCGCUUUGCUGGUGAAUCUCCGCCAUGGUCCCUCGAGCUCCACUUUGCAGGAACCCUUCUCCUGGAAAAACUACUCUACUGGGAGCCAUGGAAGUCAUCUUCUUCCCAAACACGCCCGGAAAUGUUAACAGGACCAGGCAACUGUAAUUGCUCUGACGCUUUGCAUAUUUAUGUUGGAGAACUUCAUCUGAACUGUUACUUUAAAAAAGAAAGAUCAGUUCAUCUUUGAAAAGGGGGUGAUUAAUCGCUGCCAGUCGGGCAUUCCUUCAUUCCUGGCUUCCUCUUAGUCUCCGUAAUAAGUUCUUCACGAACACCAGUUUGCUAUUAAAGAAUGGUAUUCAUCAUAAGCCAAGCAGAGAGGAGGCACAAUACCCUAUUUCAAUCCACAGUGUCCUUUUUGUUCAACUUGGUCUCGAUCUCUGUGUCAUUAACAUUUGAGGAAAAACACACAAAGAUGUAGGUAAAUAUUAAUCAGGAAUGCACAGUCUCUUCCCCUACUCAAUUACCCAUUACUGGGCUCUCCAGGUGAUAAUGUCCUGUGAAAGGGUCUAUUUGCUUAAAACUCAAGUGAGAAGCAGCUUAAGCAGUUUUAAAACAGUAGGGAAAGGCUCCCCGCUCCUCUGUCAGCAUCCUUCCGGGUCAGCUGGUGUUGAGAGUGUGUGGGUGUGUUUGGCUCCUUCGCCUCCAGCCUGGCUGCCUUUUCAUUCCAUUAGAAGUUUUGCCAACAUUUUCAGAUGACCUGAGACACUCAGAGCACACAUAACAAUGGUCAACGCACCCAGCAGGCUGUGGAUCAGGCACCUCUGUACCGAGCCAUCGCUUUGAACUUGAAGUUCAUUUUUUCUACUUUAGAUCUCCUCAGACCAUGGAAAUUGCCAUCAACCUUUCCACAAUGGUAAGAGCAGGUCUAAGUCAUGAUCUCUCUCAUUAUCAGUGAAGUCAUUCAAAGAGCAUCAGAUCAGCUGGGCUCUGAUGUAAAUAAACACAUUUUUGGGUGAAGUCUAUUUCUCUGCUCCUAAAACUGGUGUAAAUUCAGAGGCUCAUAAUGACAUUUUGUCCCAAGACUGUCAGCUCUUUAUGUUAACCAUGAUAUUAAAAAUCCAGAUGACAAGAGCUGGAUUCAUCAUGGAAGUCAAGAUCAGAGCCCCAAAAGGCCAUCUCCUGAGAGCUGAUAGCUGUAUGUAAAUGGCAAAUGCACAGAGGCUAUGUGGGCUGAAGGGGAGGGGUCUUCACCAUGCAUUGCCAGGAAGUCAGGUCAAACUGCUUCUGAGUCUCAAAGUAUAGGCAUCAGAGAGAGGAAGUGAGGCGGUUUCUAAGUCAUUAGGUGUGCUGGUGAUUUAAAGGAGUCUACAGUUACAUCCCUUUUCCUACGAAUUGCAUGACAUGUUUUUCCCCCGCAUAAACAAUUUUUUUUUUGGUCUCUGUAUGAUAUUAUGUCUUCCCUCAAUAAAAGCAAUCGGUGUGAUAUGUGUUAA